rnacentral:rRNA from 1 species
UACGUAGGCAGCAAGCGUUGUUCGGAGUUACUGGGCGUAAAGGGUGUGUAGGCGGUUCUUUAAGUUUGGUGUGAAAUCUCCCGGCUCAACUGGGGGGGUGCGCCGAAUACUGAGGGACUAGAGUACGGGAGAGGAAAGUGGAAUUCCUGGUGUAGCGGUGAAAUGCGUAGAUAUCAGGAGGAACACCGGUGGUGUAGACGGCUUUCUGGACCGACACUGACGCUGAGACACGAAAGCGUGGGUAGCAAACAGG